GUGAAUACCAAAAUAGGAGAAAAUUUCAGAACUUUAAAAAACAUUUUGAAGUCUAAUUUGAUUUAAAAAUUAAUAAAACUCAGUGUUUAUUGAAUGUUUCCCAAGGGCCAGACAAUGUGCUGAGGGCAAAGCGCAAAAGAAAGGAGGUAUUUCUUACCACCAAUAUAAUUCUGCCUUCCAGGACCCGGCUAUUAGAAAAGAGGUUCAAUGUGAAUAUACUGACAAUAACAACAAAAAAAGAGAUUAGAGAAUUAAGAAAGAAAAUUCUAGAGGGCUUAAAGAUCACAUCUGGAAGGAUCUGAAAGGCCUCUUGAAGGAAAUAGAAAAAAAAAUUCUGGCUAAUUCCUCUAAUACUUCUGGACCCUCAUUGGCUAGGAAAUCAUGCUGUGUUCCCAUAUCUAUUUUCUGGUUCCGUGGAAGCUUCUUGAGUACAUGUCUAAUUUGGUUGGGUUCCCCCACUCUCGUACAGCUUCUCAUACAGGAUGCCUUAGAUGUCUUGUUUAUAAUAUUUCAAGCAGCUUCGGGUCCAAUGAGCUAUUGCAACACUAUGGCAUUGACAAUAACUAAAAGUUUUCUCACCUUGGAAUGGCAGCAAUCCAAGACCAGCUUCAAACUACCAGCCACUAGUAGAAUCCUUAAGAUCUGAGGAUUAAGAGGCACGCACAAUACAAAGAGAUGGCAUCAGAGCGAUUCCCUCGGUAUUGCUUCCUUGAAAUCUAGAAGUAGUUAUUUUUCAAAUAUAAAGAAAAAUUUUGUUAAGCUCAUUGAC
rnacentral:lncRNA from 1 species